rnacentral:rRNA from 1 species
AACGAACGCUGGCGGCAGGCCUAACACAUGCAAGUCGAACGCUCCGCAAGGAGAGUGGCAGACGGGUGAGUAACACGUGGGAAUCUUCCUAUCGGUACGGAAUAGCUCAGGGAAACUUGAGGUAAUACCGCAUACGCCCUUCGGGGGAAAGAUUUAUCGCCGAUAGAUGAGCCCGCGUCUGAUUAGCUAGUUGGUGGUGUAAUGGCAUACCAAGGCGACGAUCAGUAGCUGGUCUGAGAGGAUGACCAGCCACACAGGGACUGAGACACGGCCCAGACUCCUACGGGAGGCAGCAGUGGAGAAUAUUGGACAAUGGGCGCAAGCCUGAUCCAGACAUGCCGCGUGAGUGACGAAGGUCUUCGGAUUGUAAAGCUCGUUUGCCAGGGACGAUAAUGACGGUACCUGGAGAAUAAGCCCCGGCUAACUUCGUGCCAGCCGCCGCGGUAACAC